rnacentral:tRNA from 1 species
UGGCUCAGUUGGUAGAGCAUGGUGUUUGCAACGCCAGGGUUGUGGGUUUGAUUCCCGU